rnacentral:misc_RNA from 1 species
GAAAAAAGAUUUUACUAUAUAUAUUCAGCUACUGAUAUAUAAAUAUAUAUACACACAAAUGUGUAAGGCGUAAAUUAAUGAUAGAGGGAAUUAAAACAAUAAGAAAAAAGAAAUUAAAAACUAAGAUGAAGCAUAUCAUCUAUAGUUUAAUUUUCUUUAAUAAUCUCAUUCUGAGCUUCUAAAGAAGAUAAACAAGGACUUAUAUGAAUCUCCUCUUGAUCGGCUUCUAAUGAAGAAACGCAAGGAGUUGAAGAAGAAUCAUCGGAAAAGGAAGAAGUGUAGAAAGACAAAGGAGAAGAAGGAGAACGAGAACAAGAGCAAGAAUCACUAGUUGUAGAAGAAGCAAAAGCAAGACCAAUAAGCAAAUCUAUAAAAGCACCAAUAAUAUACCCAUGAUUGCUCGUUCCAUUCACUUUCAAAUAGCAGCAAAGCAACUCUUCAAGACCUUCCCUUUCUUUUAAACCAUGAGCCUCCACCAUUUCCUCCAUCGAUUUCUUGAAAUCCACAUAAGGGUCUUGGGAGUCCAUCGACAAAACCACACUCUCUUUAAAUGGAAACUCACCACCUCCUGCCUUGGCUUCUUCCAAGAUUGAGCUAGUCUCCCCAGGCUCAAAGAACAGCCUCUCUGACCUUAAACCUUGAAUCACUGUCUCUAAGGAGGGCUCAUCAGCUCCAGCUGACUCAUCAGAUGCUGUGGAGAAACUUGCAGACUCAGAAGAGUUGGUGAACCAAGACUGAGCAGGUGUGUCCCCCACAUCUAUGUAAGCAGAGUUAAGGGUCUUGAACAUGUUUUCGCUGGUUCUGAAAGAGAGGGUUUUGGGUUGUUGACAAUAAACAGGCCAAGGCCAUGAUGAUGAAGAACUUGAUGAGUCUGCGUUAAUCUUGGAGAGAAAAGGAAGCUUCAUUUUCUUGCCCAGGUGCUUUGAUUUUUGGUGUCUCUACCCUCUCUAAGGACAUGAAAGGUGUUCAAAUGAUUUUCCAAGGUAAAGAAAUGUGAAAUUUUAGAUUUUCUUUAUGUAGGCAUUAAUGGGCAAGUCAGAGAAAGCUGUUAGAUUUUAGAGAGAGGGAGAGACAGAAUUCGGC